AUCCAGCUGACGAGUCCCAAAUAGGACGAAAACGUGCGUCCUGGAU
rfam:Schistosoma mansoni, Puerto Rico, WGS project CABG01000000 data, contig: 0034